UGGAGUUCAAUGGCAUAAUCUCGGCUCACUGCAACCUCUGCCUCCUGGGUUCAAGUGAUUCUCCACCACACCUGGCCGGCAAUUUCUUAAAAUAAGACAACAAUAAAGCUGGCCACAUUGAGCUUCUUCCUUUCACAAAAGAUUUCUCCGUAGCACGCGAUGCUGUUUGGUAGCAUUUUGUCCACAGCAGACCUUCUCUCACAACUGGAAAAUCCUCUCGAACCCUAUCGCUGCUGUACCAACGAAGUUUAUGGAAUAUUCUAAAUCCUUUGUUAUCUCAGCAAUGUUUAGAGCAUCUUCACCAGGCGCAGAUUCCAUCUCAAGAAAGCACUUUUGCUGGGUGCGGUGGCUCACACCUGUAAUCCCAGCACCUCGGGACACUGAGGCGAACGGCGGGCAGAUCACUUGAGGCCAGGAGUUCGGGACCAGCCUCGCCAACAUGGUGAAACCCUGUCUCUAAUACAAUACAAAAAUUAGCCGGGCGUGGUGGCGUGUGCCUGUAAUCCCAGCUACUCGGGUGGCUGAGGCAGAAUUGCUUGAACCCAGGAGGCAGAGGUUGCAGUGAGCCGAGAUUGCGCCACUGCGCUCCAGCCUGCGUGAUAUUCAAACUGGAAGAGCAGAGCGAGACUGUCUCGAAAGAAAAACAAAACAAAACAGCUUGAAGCGGCAGGGUUACAGCUCCGCGACGGCCCCUGCAGGCGGGGUGUGCUAGGCAGAGUGUGCUGAGAGCAGCAGCUCAGGACAGUUCUGCAGCCACAUUUACACCCACUUUUAAUUUCAUGCAGAUUAAGGGGCAGCCCAGGCAAAAGUUUCUAGGGAAGGGGUAGUAACUUUUGGGUCGUGGGGUCAUUGCCAUGGAAAGGGGUAGUAACUCCCACCAUGCCUGGCCUGUUUACUUUCACUUCCAGCUUGCCCUUGAAUUGUUUCCUGGGCAAAGCCAGGAACCCUCGAGGGGCUCAGCCCCACUGUGGGUCUUGCCUGCCCUCCAUCAACUAGAAGGGGACGUAGCACUGAGUUAAUCCACCAUUACUUUAAAUGGCAUGGAUACCACUCAUAUAGUAUUGAGAAAAGGAAGUCAGAUACAAAAGAGAACAUGCAAUAUAAUUCCAUUUAUAUAAAGUUCAAAAUAGGCAAAGUGAGUAUGAGGGCUAGAAGAGUGGUGAUUUUAAACCUCCGGGCCUUUGUACACGCUGUUCCAUCUACCAAGGGUGCCCUUUCCUCACACCAUGUAAACGCAAACAUAUGGAUCAAGUUACCUCCUUGCCAGGCGCGGUGGCUCAGUGUCAUCCCAGCACUUUGGGAAGCUGAGCCACCGCGCUCGGCCAGAGUUUCAUCUUGUUGCCCGAACUGGAGUGCAAUGGUGUGGUCUAGGCUCGCUGCAACCUCUGCUUCCCGUGUUCAAGCGAUUCUCCUGCCUCAG
rnacentral:lncRNA from 1 species